AUGCCUCCUCCUUCUGCUAUUCCUUUUCCUCCUCCUACUCCCAUAGCUUGCUUCAAUUGCAAUUACAGACCUAAAGACUGCACCUCUACCUGGUGGUCAUCAUCUCACCUCAUGCUGUCAGAACCAGUUGUUCAAUUUGUUUUACUGUAAGCAAAGCAACAAAUCUUCCCGAACGCGUGCCCACGAUUUCCGAUGGUAGUCGCACCACCCUGUCCCUUGUACGAAUCGCCCUCUGGAUAUCUGUUUCCCCUGGACUUCGGGGUAUGUGUAAUUGCUUAUUGCAACCUGGAACCCUAAAAAGUUCCUACAUUCAUGGUACUUUCUUCACAGAGCUGACGCUAUCAAGGUACUUCUACCUCCCAAAGCCAGUUGUUAAUUAUGCUUUACAUGUUGUAUUGCUUAUAAAUUGAACCAUUGGGUGUCAAGAUAUCUAUCGAUUUGUUGUUCAUUCAGUUCCCCUUAUUUCUGCUGCACUGUUCAGUUAAUCCUAAUGAACUGCUUCUUGGUAUUUUGGGUUUUGAGAUCCUGGUGAAUUCUCAAGGGUUGAGAGAGUUGUCAAAACAGUGUGACUUCUGUUGAUUUGCAAAUAACUCUUGAGAUGGAGAAGAACUUAGAAGCAUGCUUGUGGUAGAUUGAAUCGAUCGCUAGAUGUGUGUUUGCAUGAGCAAAGAACAAUUUAGCCUUCUUUGGUCCAUCAUUUUCUUCCGCAUGAGCAUCCUGCCAACACAAUUUUCGAAGGUGGUGAGGAAAUGGAGGACCCUUGAACAGUUAUGUGAAAAGGGACACUAGAACAAUGCCUACAUGUUGUUGAAGGAGAUGGUUGAAGAAAACUGCCUAAACCAGAUCUGCAAGUUUAUGAAAUGAUUCUAGAGCUGCCGAGGAAGACUGGACAGCUAAAAAUGGAUGAGGAGUUGGUGGGGAAGAUGGGUUGCCAUGAGAUUUUUCUCUCGCCCUUUGUAGAAGCAACUUCAUCAUUAACAUCUAUAAGCCAAAUAAGAGAACUUUCAAGGAAGACUCUAAAAUGGUGGUAUUAUUUGCUAAUUGCUUGUUUCCACAUCAGGAGGUGGUAAAUGCUAUUGAAUGCAACAAUGGAAAGUAUGACUGAGCUGCCUAUAUGUUCCUCCCUUUAUGUAACUGGAGAAGUUAGUAUUCAGCUUAUAUGAUAGUCAAAAGAGUUUUGACGCGGAACAGAUUCAUGGAGUUAUGGUCCUGGAGCUGCAUCCUUAUCCAAGUCACAUCCAUAGCCAGAACCUGAACUUUCUGCAGAUGGAUUAGAAGAUCGUUGCUGAUUUCUGAGUUCUUAUGCAUAUAGCUGAAAAAGUGGACUCACUAAAUAAUCAUUCUCCACUUCAACAGAUCUUGAAAGAUGAGAAGGGGACAUUAUCAUAUGUUGAUGUUGAUUACAGCUUUUGGAUAAAUGAGACACAUGUCAAGCCGUUUCACGAAAUUGAAAACGCAGACCCAUUGCGUCUUUCAUUCUUCCUAUUCAUUAUGCACAAAUAGUCUCCGCUCUGCACAACAAAAAAUUACAAUUCCUUCCUGACGCAUCCGCUCUGCAGAACCUUCUUCCUCUUUUCGUGGUUCUGAUCCUUCCUUCUCAGAAAGACUCCUGUGGCUGCGACAUGAAUCACCAUCUUCCAUCCCGUAGGCUCCGUUUCUCACAGACAAGGGAUUUUUUGGAGGGUUCGAAUCAGACUACGGAAGGUGGUCUGCUCCGUUUGGAAGAUGGCUGAGGUUUGGCACCGGACAUUGUUCCUUAAAUGGUGGCUGCUGGCUGGGUGCUCAUACUCGAUUUGGGUUUUCCUGCAAAUUUUCAGAUUUGGUGCACCUAUGCUCUGGGAUUUUGGGGUUCCAGUUUGUGCAUUGGUGUCGUUCUUCUAGGUUGUUCUUGAUUGUGAUGAGGCUAGAAGUUAUGAAAUAAAGUGAAUAGGUGACUUGCCCACCAAAGAUGAGGCUAGAAGUUAUGAAAUAAAGUGAAUAGGUGACUUGCCCACCAAAGGUAUUCUUACAAUUUGUGCUUAUUGAGUGGAUUUUAUAUUCUUUAUUUAUAAUGCUCACUAUAAAUGAUGCACCUGUUUUAGAAAAGAAACUGAUUUGCAGCUCACUAUAAUUGAUGCACCUGUUUUAGAAAAAAAACUGAAUUGCAGGUGCUGCACCUAUAAUGUAUACUUCUACCAUGGGUUGCCUUUCUAAAUUGCGAAAUUAUUUGUUCAUUCACACAGAAAAGAGAAUGCUCCCCCAUAAACUUGACAUCUCCCACUGAUUUCUUAAAUUAUUUGUUCAUCCUCUGAUUUUUUUUAUUUGUUCUCAAAUAUGUCUUCAUGAGUUGUUUAAGCCUUACUUCUACCAUGGGUUACAUUUUGCGGAAGACAAAGGGAUUGAUUCUAAAUCCAGCCAAAGUUCAGCAUCACUGAUGAGGCGAAUUGGCUGAUAUCUACCAAAAAAAGUUAAUGUGAAGAAAAGGCAAUAAGACAGAUUAUUAUUGGUCAAUGAAUGAAGAUGCUUGCAGCCUCCAAGCUUCCGCAUGUGCUUUUCCUCAGUGCCAUUAUUAUUGACAUGAAAUUAGGUUUGCCCAUAGGUUGGAAUAGACCGCCACCGUUGUUGACUGUUUUGGUGUGUUCGGUAUUCUGAGAUUGAUUUGUAGGAAGUAGGCUUUGGCCUCCACUUUAAAGUUUGGAAAGAUUUGAGUUGUCAUUGUGGAUCUACAAUAAGUAUUAAAUAGUUAUAUUUUGUUUCUGACUGUGAAGGGCAGUUUAUUAUAUCUUUCUUUCAAUUUUUUAAAUUUUGGAGUUCGUUUGUAACUCUCAAACUUAUUUCUUCAGUUAAGAGCAUUCUUGAAAUAAGAUAAAAGAUAUUAAAGUUGUGCAAUUGAAAGCUGCAAAUUUGGGAUAAUUUCAGAACUCAAAACCCAAUAAAGUUACAAACACAUGCUAUAUGCGAAUUUUGCACUCAGUUUUCUGUAAUGUCAUGUUGAACAUCCAAGGCCAGCAUUGGUACUUGAUUAAUCAUCCACAGCCAAAUUUUUCCAUGGCAUUUACUUCAAAAUAGUCCUGAAAGCCUGCAGUCUUUUUUGUGCACCAUAUUUGACAGUUUAAUCAUCCACAGCCGCAAGGUGACAAUUUGAGUUGCUAUUACAGAAACAUGCACAACACAUUGAAAGAAUGAAAGAAAAGUGGUUUCGGAGGUCUCUAUUUCUUCUUCCAGGCGCUCUUCAGCAGCUCCUAACUUCUCCAACUCAUUCACUACAAGUAUAAAACUUCCAAUGGAGAAUCAGGGUAUAGUGCACAGAGGACUUUACCUUUCCAUUGAGCCAAAUUCCGAAUAUGCUGAGCUACCAGACAUAUGGGUUGCUACUUUUGGAACACAUAUUACUGAAACAAUAAGGUUGAUGGAUCCACUGCACAAUUCCUUCAAUGUUCGACUCACAAAGUUUAACAACAAUGUAUUUGCACUGACAAAUGGACUAUUAAGCCUCCAACAAUAUUAUGGUCUGCAAUAUGGUGGAUGGCUUAAACUUUUUUAUCUUGGAAGGACUGAAUUCCGAUUAAUUGAGGUCCAAGAUAGAGGUUUUAUGAAUGUGAGAUAUAGAACCCCUCCAUUGAGAUAUGAAUUUGGAUGGGGGAAUGAUGAAGAGGUGCCAUCUAGCUAUGAUAGUGGUCCUGAUGAACAUGAGGCUGACAACUUAAAUGGCCAGCUAAUCUAUCAUGAAUCAGAGCUCCCCAUCUCUGACACCUACCAAAACAAAAAGACAUUGCCUGUUGCAUUGGUUCAUGGUGCAAUUCUUCCUCAUACACCACCACAUUGUGUCCUGAGGGAUGAACAUAAAAGAAGAUUUUUUUUUGUGAUUUAACGUGGAAUAAGAAAAGGCCAGGAGAAUGCGUCUUGAAGGGUGGAUGGCUUCAAUUUGUUAAAGCAAACAACUUACAAUACGAAAGCAAGAUCUGGUGGGUGAUUAAGAAGAGAGACCCAACUGUGGUUCAUGUAGGUGUUUUGGAGAGAUGAAACAUCCUCAAUUAUAACUUAAGAAGUUCUUUUAGUUUAUUGACUUCCUGUUACAGUUUUCCUCCUUUGUUAUGUUUGUUUCCUUUUAAUUCUUCCUCUGGCUUGGGUUCUUUUACUGAGGGAACAUUUGGCCAUGAAGUGUUGCUCGAUUGGGAGAGCUUUGUUCCCAAGACCCUUUUGAUUAUAAUAAAUUUUCUGCUGCCUUCAUUA